UACGAAGGGGGCUAGCGUUGUUCGGAAUCACUGGGCGUAAAGCGCACGUAGGCGGACUUUUAAGUCAGGGGUGAAAUCCUGGAGCUCAACUCCAGAACUGCCUUUGAUACUGAAGAUCUUGAGUUCGGGAGAGGUGAGUGGAACUGCGAGUGUAGAGGUGAAAUUCGUAGAUAUUCGCAAGAACACCAGUGGCGAAGGCGGCUCACUGGCCCGAUACUGACGCUGAGGCACGAAAGCGUGGGGAGCAAACAGG
rnacentral:rRNA from 1 species